GGUUUUUGCCAACGAAGACAAACAGGGAGAUGAAGAUGAAACACAGAGACAUAAAAGAGUCGCUUAGGGAAAUGAUAAAGAGAAGGGAGAAGGCAAUUAAAGCAGGGGAAGAGAGCAAUGAGGACUUGUUGGACAUACUUGUGGAAUCCAAUAUCAGAGAAAUGGAAGCAAAGAAUAUGGGGAUGAGCAUUGAGGAUGUGAUUGAGGAAUGCAAGCUGUUUUACUUUGCUGGCCAAGAGACCACUUCGGUCUUACUGGUGUGGACUAUGGUUUUAUUAGCAAGGUAUCCCGAUUGGCAAAGUAAAGCAAGAGAGGAGGUUUUGCAUGUUUUGGGUGACAAUAAACCUGAUGCUGAUGGCCUUAAUCGUCUCAAAGUUGUAAGUCCCUAGCAUGUCUUUUGAAGGUCCGAUCAAUGAGGUCGACAACUCAAAAACUUUGUUUCUUUUUUCGCUAAUUCUACAGGUAACGAUGAUAUUGUACGAGGUUCUAAGGCUGUACCCACCGGUGGUUGAGCUAGGACGUUCCGUUCCAAAAGAAAUAAAACUGGGGAAUUUGUUGUUACCAGUAGGAACAGAAGUUUCGGUUCCGAUCCUGCAGAUCCACCAUGACAAAGAUCUUUGGGGUAACGACGCACGGGAAUUUAAGCCAGAGCGGUUCGCGGAAGGGGUUUCCAAAGCAACAAAGAGUCAAGUCACGUUUCUGCCAUUCGGAUGGGGUCCUAGGAUCUGUAUUGGCCAAAAUUUUGCUUUGAUGGAAGCCAAAAUGGCGAUGGCUAUGAUUCUCCAACGCUUCUGGUUCGAGCUUUCCCCUUCCUAUGCUCACUCUCCUUACAGCAGGGGAACUCUUCGUCCACAGCAUGGUGCACAGAUAAUUUUACAUAAACUUGGCUGUAAUUGAAUUGUUAUGUAAACAAAUCUUUGUGAAAACAUAGCGUUUUAGUGUAUCGUCAAAGUCCGGUGUCUGUAAUGGUACAAAUUCGAUGCAUGAAUAGUAAAUUUUGAGAUGUUUGGUGAAGUCCGAAAUAAUAUGCAGAAAUUGAGCGUCUAUGGUGGACAUAGUUGAGGGACUAAUGUGGUAAUUAUCAAUCAAAUAAUUCGGUACAAAGACUUGUAUGGAAAUUAAAGCAGGGGGAGUUGAAAAUGACUACUCUGCUUUGGGCAUCAAUUUAGAAAGAUUUAAAGUACAACUGUGUUAUCAGUUAAGGGAUUUGUUUUAAAGAGGGAAUGACAAUUAAACCUCAUGGUUUAUUUGUGCAAGGGAACCGAUGAUGGGAUGAUUAUUCUUAGUGGUAAAAAAAACCAUUAUGGAGGUUAUUACACUUGUUAUCAUCAGCUUAAAAUUCGAAUGGGUUCAAGUCGGAUUAUAUCGAGCUUGUAAGAUGAGUUCACGGACCAAGUUUGCAUAAUAAAAUACCUAAAUGAAAAAAAAUUCUAUUUUAGAGGGACGAGAGCCCCUAUCAACUCCCGGCUCAGCCACUAAACAAUACCUAUAUCAUAUAAAUAAAUACCACCAUCUAAAAGACUCAAAGAAAAACACUCAACAAAGGAUAAAUAGAUAGAUGUUGGAUAAGUGUCCAAAAUAUGAUUUAAGUGAAGAUACAUGUGGUAGGUGUUACGGAAAUGUGAAGACAAGAAUCCCACUAACGUAUGGGAUGUGUGCAGUUGAAUGUAGGGAGCAAAAAGAGGAGUGAAUCAUUUUGGUAACAUUUGGACAAGAAACAUAAUGAACAAAAUGGAAGGAGAGGAAGCUAGUAAAAGAAUUUUUUUGGGUCAUAUAAUUUGUUCAUUUUGGAGUUGAAUUAUAAUUUUUUUAUAUAUUAUUUUAAAAUUUUAAGGAGUUAAAACAAAAUUAUUUUAUUUUCAGAUGGUCAAAGUAGAGGUGAUAAUGGGUUGGGCUAUUCGGCCCGGCCUGACGAUUCACUCGAAAAAUAGGAGGGUUUAGGUAAAAAUAUAGGCUCGAAAUAGGGAUUUGAGCAAAAAAAGAGUCCCGUUUAGAAAAUGGGCCAGGCCUCGGGUAAAAUUUUUUGGGCCCAAGCCUGACCUGAAUUAUAUAUUAAAUAUAUUUUUUAAUUUUUAAUCAAAUAUACUUUUUUUUAUUAAUUUGGUUAUUAUUUUAGUUCUAAUUUGUUUCAAUUUUAAUAUAACCACUUUUUAUUAUAUUUUCAAUUUGUGUAUUGUUUUAAGAAUUGUUUUAGUCUCAUUUUUUUAUUUAUUUUUUGUUUUAAUAAUUGUUUUAAAAAUUUUUAUUUAAUGAAAUAAGCUAAAAAAAUUAAUAUGGGCUUGGCCAGGCCAGGCUCGGGCCUAGUAAUUUUCUUUUGGGCCGGACUUAGAUAAAAUUUUAAGCCCAUAUUUUAAAUUGGGUCCUAACCUAAAAAAUGAACCUAAAAUUUUAUAUGGGCCCGACUUGGCCCUUGAUUACCUUUAGGUCAGAGCUAUCCUCGUUUUGCAUUUCUUUGAGAUUCAGCCUUAUCUACUGUGAUUGCCCACUCAAUUGAGGGUUGAGUAGAAAGAUUUGGUGAAGCAAGCUAAGCUAUCAAUCAAGGUUUGCAUAAUUAUUUAAAUGUAAUUCUAAUAUUAAAAUAAUUUUUUUAUUAAUAUAGUAUCAACAAGCAUUAAAUGUAAUGAUCAUAUACUAUUACAUUUUAAAGAAGAGAAAACAUGUUUGAACUUUAAAAACCACGUUACUAAAAACAUUAUCACAAACCUUGAAAUAUAAAAAAUAAUUUUUUUAAUAUAAUAAAAAAUUAAUUUUAAACCCGAGCUGAAUAAAAUUCUAAUUUUAGUUAAUGAUACGAACAACAAAUCAAUAUUCUAAGCCCGAGCCCUGCUCAUUUUUUUAAUAAACACCAAAAAUUUAUUUUGAAAAUAAAAAAUAAAAAAAAUAUUUUAAAAAUAUUUUAAAAAUAAAAAAAAUUAAAAAUAAAUAUUUAUUAUAUAUUCAGGCCGGGCCGGGCUAGCCUUGGGCUAAAAAAAUGGUGCCCGAGGCCCGGCCCAUUUUCUAAAUAGGCCUCAUUUUUUGUCCAAACCCAUAUUUUGGGCCUAUAUUUUUACCCGAACCUCUCAUAUUUUGGGCGGACCGUCGGGCCGGACCGGGCCGCCCGGCCAUGAACACCUCUAGGGCAAAGUCACUCAAUGAAUGCAUGGAAAGAAAUAUUGCAACUUGGUGACAGCUUUUGUUGGAGUUAUAUGCUUUUUUUUACAUAGUGGAACUUUCGGUGGAUUUUCAAGUUUCAUGAACUUUAUACCCUAGGCUUUACGUGAAAAAAAUCAUUGGACUUAAAAGUCUACCAAAAGUUUCACUAUAAUAAAUAAAUAAAUAAAUAACAUUGCUACAAGACUACAACAUAAAGUUACAAUAAGAGCUUAUAACUCAACAAAGGCUAUCAAUAAAUAAUCUCAAGCAAGCUAAAGAGAAAUGUUGAGAGUACCACUCAAAUAGUGAUUGACUUUAAAAAUUGAAAACCCGAAGUUAUUGUUGACACCAUUUUUUGGAUGAAAAUGUGUCGACUUGGGUUUUGAAAAUGAAAACGAAAACGAGAGUCGCCACCAAUCCUUUUUGAUAAGGUGUGACUGGGUCACCUUGAAAAGUGGUUGUUUUUAAUAAACGAUUUGAUUUUAUUAAAACAACAGUUUUGGUCCACGAAAUUCAGAAAAAUGAGUUCGGGAGUCGGUUACGCACGAGGAAGGAUUAGCACCCUCGAUACGCCCAAAAUUGGUACCUAGUUGAUUACUUAAUGUCUUAAUGUCGAAAAUUGAAAACUUUGGAGAAUUUUAAACAUACGAUCCUUGUAUUAAAACGUUAAAAAUUUUCAAGAAAAUGGGAUAUUUCACGUUAUUCGAUAAAGAGAAUCAUAUCCUAGUAAGUUAGGACACAAUAUCUCGAAUUUCCGAUAUCAUUUAAAACUUGAGUUUGAAAAGAUUCGUGUAAUAAAGUUUAAAAUAAUAUUCAAUUGUUUAAAUCAAAUGAAGAAAUCGCAACCCAAUACGUUAGGGCACAAUUUCUCAAAAUAUUAAACAUUGAAUAUUGCAUUUAUUUCGAAAAAUCCUCAUCUCGAGAAAACGUGUCACAUCCAAUGCAUUAGAAUACAACGUAUUGAAUUCUCGAUAACGAGCUUUUUCUCAUUUUUUAAAAGAGUAAUCUCGAUUAUUUAGGUUCAACGAAGAAAAUCAAAACCCAAUACGUUAGGGCUCGAUUUUCUCAAAGAUUCCAAAUACCGAGUAUUACUUAUAUUUUUAAAAUUUCUUUUUUGAAAUCCGAGUAAAAAUGAAUGCAAAAUAAUAAAUGAUGACAAUGUAAAUAAAAUGAUACAAGCAAAACAAUAAACAAUAAAAAUAAUCAUACGGGCAAGGUAACAAAUAAUUAGGAACUAAAGAAAGAGAACAAACAAUAAUAAACAUGCAAAUAAAUGAACAAAAUUAACAACAUGAUGCAAAUAUGAAAGAUAUAUAAGCACAUAUAUAUACAUAAAAUAAUGAGAAUAUGAAAAAAUGUGUGUAAUUGGACAUGUUUCGGAAUUAUUAUACAUUUAAAAAUCAUGUAAAUGUGUGUACAUACAUAUAUACAUAUAUAAUAAUCAUUAAAUAUAUAAAAAUACAUAUGUGUAGGUAUAUAUGAGUCAUAAAAUGUAAAGAAUAUAUACAAGAUAUAUUUUGAACGUAUAAAGUAUAUGUAAAUGUAUAUAUAUAAUAAAGGUGUAUGAAAGCAUAUUUUAUAUACGUGUAUUUAUAAAAUGUAUAUAAAUGUAUAUUGAUUUACCAAUACAUAUGGAUUUAUAAUUAUAGAAUAUAUAUAAAAUAUUUACAUAUAUACGUUUAUGCAUAUAUAAAAGUAAGUUAUUAUAAAAUAUGAGCAAGCAGAAUACAUAAAUAUAUAUACAUAAAAUAAAAAUGAAGAUGAAAAUAAUAUAAAACUACUUAAUAUAUUAAUAUAAUAGUAACAAAUUAAAAAAACAGAAAAUAAAGCUAAUAAUAAUUAAUAAUAGUAGUAAUAAUUAUAGCAGCAAUGAUAAUGAUAAUAAUAAUAACACUAAAAAAAUUAAUUAAAUAAUAAAAUUGCUAAAAAGGGAUUAAAUCGAAAUAAAAACAUAAAUACUGGGCGAUUUUGAAAUAAAAAACGGGAAGGACCGAAUUGCAACGCGCGUUGAAAAGGAAAGGGCCAAAACUGCAAAUAAACCACAGCCCCAAAACGCAGCGUUGAAAUGGACCAAGUCGAAAUAAAAAUAAAAUUGCAGGGGCUAAAUUAAAAAUAAGAGAAAAUAACGAAAAAUGAUCAAAUUGUAAUACGCUGCAAAAUCAGGGGGACUGCACGCGCAAAUAGCCCAAAAACUGAAAACACGCGGAUCCUCCGGGUCGGGUCGGGUCGGGUCAGGUCGACGUGCGGAUCCCCUUUGCUAAAACGGCGUCGUUUCAUGUUUAAUAUAAAUACUAAAAAAAGCUAAAAAAAACAGUUUCAUCUUUUUUUAAAAAAAACAGAGAGAAAACUCUCUCUUUUUCCCUCAGGUCCGGCCAUGGUCCGGCUUGGGAUUUCCGACGAGUCUCCGCCGCAAAGCCACCGUGUGUGGCGGCCGGAGGUUCAAAAUCAGACCUUUUUGGUCCUUUUUUAAAGUCCAUGGCCUCCAAGCCACAGAUCCGGGGCUGAAUCUCCUGAAUCGAAAGCCGAAGACCCAAAAAAUGGGGUGAAAUCCUUCGCCUUCCUCCCCCUUCCGGCGCUGCGCAGGUAAGGUUUUUUUUAACUCCUUUUUUACUAUCUUUAUUUAUAUAUAUACAUGAAGAGAAAAGAGAGCAAAAUAAAUAAAUAAAUAAAAACUUCAAAACUGAAGAGAAAAAGACCUUGAAUCUGCCUUAUUUAUUUUCUUUCGGUUGAAUCUGUUUUUGUUUGUUACAAAAGUUUCCAGGGAAGAGAAAAAAAAAGAGAGUUACAUGCUUGGCUUUUAUAGCCGAUAUUAAUUUCUAUUUUUUGUUUUCUUUUUCCUUUCUUUUCUUUGGCUGUUGCGUGUUUGCUUCCUUAUUGCAGGGUGAUUGACGGGAGUGGUUGGCGACAGAGUCGGUGGCCACUUGCACUGAUGAAGCAGCGGUGGCGGCGCUAGGGUAGGCUAGGGACGGCGGCAGUACUAGGGUUUCAGAAAACUGAAACCCUAGUUUGACAAAUUGGUUUCGGGCCUGUUGGGCUUUAAAUUAUGGGCUUUGUAAUUGGGUUUUGGGUUUAGGUGAUUUGGGUUUAGGUGGUAUGGGCCCGGGUCAAAUUUUGGGUAAUGGGAUUGGGGCAAAAUUGGGUUGUACAGUUAUAAUAUCCCAAACGAAAUCAAACUAUAAACAUUAAAUUUUUCGAGUCUUCUAGAUACUGUAAAAAAUUCAGCUCCAACGGACACCAAAUGAACCUAUGAUCGAAGAAAAUACGAAGACUAGUCUGGCUAAAUCAAUCUGCCAAACUUACUUUUUAUCUUAUCUUUAAUUUGCUGUGAAAUUCAAAACUACGUGUAAUACUCAAUUUAUGCUCGACCCAUUUUGUUAAAACAAAUAAAAAAGAAAAGAAAAACAAAAUAUUUAAAUUUAGCCCAAAUGUCCAUUUACACAGCCCAAUUACAAUUGCAAAUAAAAAAAACUAAAACUAAACCCGAUCCUAAGCAUCAGCCCAAAUUCGACCCAUGCCCAAAACGAAUUCAGAUGCAGAAACCCUAGCCCAGCCUUAAUGCAAGCAAAAGUCGAAAGCCCUAAUAGUUGGUGCGCCGCUCCUGUAACAGCCCGAUUUUGGGCCUAGUCGGAACAGUGGUUUUGGGACCACAAAUCCGACGAGAAAAAAAUGUAAUGGCCCGAAUUUUCAGAGGUGUCAGAACGGUGAUUCGAGAUCACUAAAUUCGACAAAUGGGUAGAAAAUAUUAUUAAUUUAGUAAGUAUAAGUUAAAUGUGAAGUUAGGAAAAUUUUUGAAAUGGUGAAUAGUACACUAGAAAUAAAUAUUAAAAUAAUUAGAAUCGAAAAUGAGGUAUCGAGACCUCGGGGAUUUUAAACCGAGCCAUAAAUAUUUUUAUAAAUAUUUAUGUAGUCUUAAAAAGUUAGUAUUAAAGUUUCGUUAAGAAAUUUUAAAGUUCCGAUAAUUAAUUGAACAAAAAGGACUAAAUUGUAACAAAUACAAAAUUAUGAGAAAUGAUUAAAUAGUUUAAAUGAUAAAAGGAAGAGGGCUUAAAAGGUAAAUAGACCCAAGGUCUAUUUGGGCUGCACGGCAAAGGCAUGAAAUCAGCAACAAAGUAAGGAGAAUUAAGGGCAAAAUUGGAAUAUUGCAAAAUUUACUUAAUAAAGUUAGGACCAAAGUGGAAUUAUCUAGAUUUCUCUUUAUUUUUCUGCAUUAUCAUCAGCAUAAACACCAUAGAAGGGUUUUCUUAAGCUGGUUCUUCCUAUUUUUACUGCAGGUAAGUUCAAUUCUUGAUUAUUUCUUGAAAAUUUUGUGUUUUUGUGACUUUUACAACUAGGCCCACUUAUUGUAUUCAUUAGUUUUUGAUUCUAUGAAAGAAGUUGAAAGUUGCUAUGAAUACAUGCUGGAAGUAUAUGAUGAUUUAGCAUGGAAUUAGAGCUUUAAAUUGUUCAUAUGCUGAUUUAUUGAAAGAAUUGAAUAGAAAGUGAAUGUUUGGGACCUAAUAGUAAAAGAGUUUGAAGAUAGAGUUAUAUGUGGAAAUUCUGAAUUUCAAUAGUUGUGAAACAACUUAUAAUGUCUAGGUUAAGUAUUAAUUGAGAAAAUUAAAUUAAUUGAGGGGUUAAUUGAGAAAGGACCGAAUUGUAUAAACUGUGAAAUUUGGGGCAAAAAGGAAAUCAACAUUUUACACUAAAGCAGUUUUGGACAGCAGCAGUAGUAUAACUUUGAAAAAUCACCAAAAAUUUUGAGAAUUGAAUUAGAGGGUGAAUAAAAUAUAAAAUUAAAGCUCCUUGAAUCUAGUUUCUCAUAGAAGAAACGGUGUAAGCAAUGGAAUUGUAAAUCAUGAGAUAUAAUAAAUUUUGUGAGACAAUGUCAUAAUGAUUUCGGGUUCCCCUAUUCUGACUUUGGAAAAUCAUCAAAAAAUUAAGAAAAAUAUGAGUUAUAAUUUAUAUGAUUACAAUCCUUAAUGAGUCUAUUUUCAAAGAAAAUAAACGGAAAUAUCAUCCAAAUUCUGUACAAUUAUAUAAUUCAUUUUUAGUGAAGAGUGGUCGAAACUGUCAGACAGCGAAAUAGGGGGAACUUUAAAGAAUAAACUGUACUAUUUGGCUGAACCAAAAAUUCUGAAAAUUUUAUGGUAAGAAGGUAUGUGAGUCUAGUUUUAAGGAAAAUUAACGGAUCUUAAUUUAGAGCUCUGUAGCUCUAGAUAAAAAUAAUUUAGUGACUCUGACUCAGAUAAAUAGCUUUGAAUGUACAUGUGAGUGAAUAGUGAAAUUAUAGCUAGUGUUGUUUAAGUGUGUUAUACACAUUAAGGAUAUGGAAUGGAGAGGAGGAGGAGGAGGAAAAAUUGGGAAAUAUAUGAAUGAUUUGUGUAUAAUUGGUCAUAUGCUUAAUUAUAAUUGAUAAACGAUGAAAUAGAAAUGAUGCAUAUAUUUGUGCAGUAUUGGUCAUGGUUUAAGCUCAUGUGGGAAAAUAAAGUUUAUAGUACGUGUGUAUUAUAUUUUUGGUAUAUGAUUUGGCAUUAAGUAAUGUCGUGAAUGGAUAUUGAAUUAACACAUGUUGGAAAGUUUGAUAUAUGAAUAAAUAUUGUGAUCAUGAAAGAGUGUUACAGCUCCUGCCUUCAGCACGCGUCGAGCCUCCGCGCCAAAUCCACGUGAGCCUCCGUACACUCCAACUAGCCUCCGUACCUGCAACAAACAAAAGUAGACAAAACAACAGCAAAGGAUAGGAAGAAAAGGCAGUAAAUAGUGAAGAUUUUUCUGUAAUUUUCUUUGGAUUUCAUUAUGUAUUUUCGGCUAUAAAAGAGCCAUUAGGAAUAUUUGUAAAGGGUUUUUUUUUUACCCUCACACACAAAGAGAAUAUACACGCAUACAAGAUCAAUAUAGAGAAAGAAAUAAAAAUAAAUAAAUACAAAGAAUAGAAAAUCAAGUUUCGAAGGUGAUUCUUUGAAAAAUCCUUUUCGUUUUUCUCAUUUUUCCUUUUUCCUGGAUCUUUUGUUCAUUUCAAGUAAAAAAAGUAUAGAAAGGAAACAAGUUUAGAGGAAGGAGGUUUACCUGGACGCCGGACCUCGCUCGCCUCGUCGAAAUCGAAGGCUGAGAGGGGAUAAAUCGGUUUUGCGGCAGAAGGAAAGGGGGGCUAGGGUUCUUGUUUUAACUUUUUUAAAAAAAAUAGAAAAGGUUGCUAAUUAGGUUUUAAUGGGGGAUUUAUGUGUGUUAAAAAAACGACGUCGUUUAGCGACCUUUGACCCGUGCGGUGACCCGACCCGAGGAAAGGAUCUGCGCGUUUUGGGUCUGAUGGGUUUAUUGCGCAACAAGCCCUUCCGCAUUUGUUUUUCGUUUCAAUUCGGUUUUUAUUUGUUUUUUAAUUGUUUUCUCAUAUUUAGUUCCAAUUUCAAUUGGGUCCAUGAUUAAACGACAUCGUUUUCAUUGAUUGGGUUUGAAGGCCUGGUUUUGUGCGUCUAAAUUGCAGCAAUGGUCCCCCUGAUGUGCAAUAGUUCUCGAUUUAGUCGUCUCCACACUUAUUUCAAAGUCGUCCUUGAGAUUUUGUUUUAUUUUUGAAAUUGUCCUUGUCUUCUUUUAAUUUAUAAUGAUAUUAUUAUUAUUGUUGUUGUUAUUAUUACUAUUAAUAUGGGUAUUGUUAUCAUGUUAGUUUAUAUCUAUUUAUUUACUUUUAUUUUAUUAUGUAUUAUUAUAUAAUGCUUUUAUCAUGUAUCAUUUUAUAUAUUUUCUAUGUUAAUCUAAUAUGAUAUAUAUAUAUAUAUGUAUUUUUGUGAUCUUAUUUUAUAAUACUUUUUUAACCCAUUUAUAUGCCUUUAUGUUUUAAAGAUUUAUAAUAUUUUGUGCAAAACUAUUAUAUAUAUAUAUAGAUAUACAAUUUAUAUUAGACCAUUUUUAUCGUACAUAUACGUAUAUAUAAUUUAUAUUUUGAAACUCUAUUUUAUUAUAUUUUAUGCCUCUAUAUACAUCAUUAUAUGUUUAUUAUUCUUUAUAUUAAACCUGCCAUUUCACUUAUAUAUUUUUAAAACCAAUGUGUAUUAUUCUUUCUUCUUUGUUAUUUUUUAUCUCUUAAAAUAGAUUGAUAAUUCAUUUAAUUUUUGAAUGUUGUAUGACCGAGAUUAUCGUUGCCAUUCUUGUCCAAAUUUAUCCAUUGCUUGUUCAUAUUAUUUGAUAAUUUAUCGCUCACUAGCAUGUAUCGUAAUUUACGAAUUAUCAUUUUGAAUUAUGUACUACCAUUCAAUCGCAUUACAUUUGUUUGGAAAACAUCGAAAUCGUUUUGCACAUAAACCUUCAAAAUGCUUGGUAUCCAAAAUUCUCGAGAGGAUUGUGCCCUAAUUUAUUGGGCUUCAAUUCCCCUUUUUGAUUUUAAAUAACCGAAUACCCCUUUUUCAAUUUGAACAUAGAAAUUCCAAAAUAAAAAAAAACUCAUUCUCGGGAAUUUGAUGCGUUGUGUCCUAACGUAUUGUAUAUGACAUAUUUUUCUCGAGACGAGGAUUUUUCUAACAAAUAAAAAUAAAGGCAAUAUUCGAUAUUUAGGAAUUUUGUGAAAUCGAACCCUAACUUACUGGGUUUUGAUUUUUUCAUUUGACCCAAGUAGGAUAUCCUUCACAAAUGCACAGAUUUUAAAAAAUCAAAAGAUAAACUUAAUUUCGAGGAUUUAAAAUGUUACACUCUGACUUACUGAGUGUGUCAAUUUAUUUCUUUGAAAUAAGUGAGUCUUAUCAUCCAAUUUAUUUUAUUCAAAUUUUCUUUUCCAAGGAUCGUAUUUUAAAAUUUUUUCAAAAUUUCGACAUUAAGACAUUAAGCAAUCAAUUCAGUACCAAUUUUGGGCGUCACGAGGGUGCUAACUCUUCCUCGUGCGUAAUCGACUCCCGAACCAGUUUUCUCAAAAUUCACAGACCUAAAAUUAUUUUCAAGGUGAUCCGAUCACACCACAAUAAAAGAUCAGUGGUGACUCCCAUUCCUAUUUUUAAAAGUCGAUUCCUGUUUUUCAUAUAUAAAAAAAUGGUUUCGACACUACGGUUUUGUUUGUUUCCCUUAGAACAACUUUCAAAAAGUUAAUUUUGAAAAAUGGAUUGAAUUUUCAAAAUAGAUGAUAUUUUUUUGUGUUAAAAUUUUAUUCGUUGUUUGAAAAAAAAAUUUAAAUCAUUUUCUUAGAAUUAUUUUUAGUGAAACAAAUAUAUCAUAAAUAUAUUUGUUAUAAAAUAUUAUAUUAAUAUUUUCUUUUAACAAUUAAAAUAUAUUUUGUGAUAAGGUAAUAUUUUAUAAUAAUUAAUAUCAUAUAUACUUAAUAAUAAAUCAUGUCUAAUUAAAAUUUAAUUUCAAUUAAAUAUAUUAAUAAAGCUACAUUUAAUCAUAUUUUAUAUAAUUAAAAUAUUAAUAUAAAUAUUUUUCAAUAAUAUAUUAAAGAAUAUUUAAAAUUUAAAUUUAUUAUUACUAAGAUUAAUUAUUAAAACAAAAAUGUAAUAUUAAAUAAUUUAUCCAAUGAUAAGUUAUAUUAAUAAUUUAUUAUAUUAUUAAAUAUAAAUAAUUAAAUAUGUAUGUUUAAUAAUAUUAUGUUAUAAUAUUUAUUACUAAUAUUUUAAUAUUUUUAAACAACCAUGUUUUAAAGAUGGUGGUGAUGGUGAUGGUGCAGGCCCCCUUGUUAAAAUUACAAUAUUUUUAAGUGGGAUGCAUGUAAUAUAUUGUUAGGGUUUUAGAGUAUGUGGUCUUUAAAAGGGUUAAAUUAUAUAUUUAUAUAAUAUGAUUAUUGUUUAUAAACAUAAUAUUGUAGAUAAGUUUAUAUGUAUGUCAAUAUGUAUCCUACUCUAAGGUUAAUAUGUAUUUUUUAGAUGUGGGUUUACCUAUAUAAUAGUAUGAAUCCAUCAUGUGGUCUCAUGAAAUAUACAAACACAUAUCGUGCGAACACAAAGUACGAACAAUAAAAAAUACAAAUCAAGACCCAAUUGAAUAAUUGAAUAACGGAUAGGUAAUAAUGAAUAUCAUAACAUUUACUAUCCCCUCUUUUCUAGUGAGUUAUUGUUUAUGAUAAAUUUGCAACAAAUGUUUUUAUCAUUAUUUUGUUGGUAAAUGAUAAUAAGAUUAAACAUUACUUUCUUAAGCUCCUUCAAUUCUUUGGACGUUAGCGAGUAAACUUGAGCUUCAGCAUUCCACAAACACCUUAAUUUGAAGACACAGUUCUCUCAUACUAAAAACGACAUGGACGUUUACCUUGUAAUUAGAGAUUUGGGCUCAUUGUUGGGUUAUUAAUGAUACGGGGAUGGAGAGCUUUAAACUGGGUAUGGUUGGCCCCAAAGAGGCUCGAAACGUGCUUGAGACUAGAGGUGAUCAAGGGCCGGGUUAGGCCCAGUCUAGAAAAAAAAUUAGGCCCAUUUUUUAGAUUUGAACUCGGCUCGGCUCAAAAUAUAAGCUUAAAAAUUUGUCUAAGUUCAGUCCGAAAGAAAAUUGUUAAGCCCAAGCUCGACCCAUAUUAAAUUUUACAACACCAAAAAAGUAUAUUUAAAUAAAAAUAAAAUAUAUAUAUUUAAUAUAUAAUUCGGGCCGAGCUGAACUCGGGCCAAAAAAGUUUUACUCGGGGCUGGUCCGUUUUCUAAACAGACUUCGUUUUUUUUGCCAAAAUCCAUAUUUUUACCCGAAUCUUCCUAUUUUUUGGGGUGUGCCGUCGGGCCGAACUGGGUAACCGAACCAAUGAUCACCUCUGUAAUCACUGAAUUUUGUCCGGGAAUAACUUUCGUUAAAAAAAUUUUAAAAUUAAAAAAAAAUUAACUUUUUUGCUUUUUGACCCCUAAACUUUUCUAAAAUUUCAUUUUAACCCCUAAACUUUCUCAAAAUUACAGUUCAACCCCUAAACUUUUCUAAAUUACAUUUUGACCCCUAAAAUUUCUUAAAAUUACAUUUGGACCCUUACACUUUCUCAAAAUUACGUUUCGGCCCCAAAAUUUUUGCUACAUUUACAAAUUGGUCCUUCUGUCAGAAAAUCCCCAAUAAUCCGGCGGAUUUCGUGCACCUGCCCCACUAUUUCCGGCAGCCGGCCUAGGGCAUGGCCUUCCCCACCUGCUACCUGCAAACAAGAAGCAAAAUCAACUAUAAAAAGGAGUUUAAACUCCAAAAAUCGGACCCCCACCCACGAAAAAAAUAAAAAAAAAAAACUUGAAAGAAAAAGAAAAAAGCUUUGAGAAAGAAAAAGAAAAGGAAAAGAAGAGAGGGGAGAAGGAGAGGCCGACCAUCGGCGAGCCACCGGAGGAGGCGACGGCAGCAGCGGCAUCGACGGCGGCGUAGAAGACCGAACGGAGAAGAAGAAGAAGAAGAAAAAAAAAGAAAGAAGAGAAAGAAAGAAGGAAGAAGAAGAAGAAAGAAACAAAAAAAAAAGAAAAUAUUUUGUAAUAGUCGGCCCGGCCCGACUCGACCUGCACGACCCGUGACCCGACCCGACAGCACCAGCAACCUAGCAGGCCACGGUAGCAGCCCGGCGGCCCAAAGAGUAGCCCAAAAAGAAAAAAAGAAGAAGAACAAAGCAAAAAAAAAAAGCAGGCCAUUUUCAGCAGGCCCAGUGCAGCCCAGCAGACCCAGCGAACCCAGCAGGCCAGGCCCACACGCAAGCAGCCCAACAGAAAAAAAGGGAAAGAAAAAGAAAAGAAAAAAGAAAAAAGAAAAAAGAAGAAGAAGGGGUUCAAUUUGUAUUAUCCGUUCGGCGAAGCUCGUGUUUUGAGGAUUUUUUUUCGGUAAUUUUAUUUUUUAAUUUUAAUUUAAUGCUCGUAUUUUUUUUAAAUAUUAUUAGUAUUUUAUGCAUUUUUAUAUUUUGGCAUUUAUAUUUUUAAUUUAAUUUACUUCAAUUUUUAUUUUAUUUUAUUUUAAAUAAUUUUAAUAAAUGAGGCAACGAAUCGAUUUAACAUAAAAUCGUUGAUUUCAUUGCUAUGUUGGGUGAAUAUCAUCGGUUUGUGUUAAACACGAUACACCCUUUUUAAAAAAAAGAAAAAAAUCGAAAAAAUUCUAAAAUUCUCAUUUUUUUAAAAUUCUCGUGUUUUAAUAGAAUCACGAUUAAAUAUUAAGUUGAAUCGAUUUGGCACUAAUUCGAUGAUUUCAUCUCCAUGUAGGGAUGAAUAUCAUUUAUUCGUGUUAAAUAUGGUACUUCUGAAAAAAAAUCGGGUUUCAAAAAUUUUCGUGUUUUCAAAAAUUCUCAUGUUUCAAAAAUCUUCGUGUUUUAAAAAUUCCAGUGUUUCAAAAAUUUUCGUGUUUUCAAAAAAAAAUUUCUCGUGUUUUUAAAAAUUCCCGUAUAUCGAAAUUUUCUUGUUUUCAAAAAAAAAAUUCCAUGUUUCAUAAAUUUCCGUGUUUUCAAAAAAAAAUUCUUGUUUUUCAAAAAUUUUCGUUUUUAAAAAAUUUGACCGUGUUUCAUAAAUUUUCGUAUUUCAAAAAAACCUCGUGUUUCAAAAUUUUCGGGUUUUUUUAAAAACAAUUCGUGUUUCUAAAAUUCUCGUAUUUUAAAAAAAAUCGUGUUUUCAAAAAAAGAAAAAGUUGUUGUGCUUUAAAAUUAUCGUGUUUCAAUCGGAUCACGAUUAAUAUUAAAUUGAACUCGUAUUUUUGAAAAUGAAAACAACGCGCGUUUAACGAGAUACCAAUUUUGGGCGUCGCGAGGGUGCUAAUACCUUCCUCGCGCGUAACCGACUCCCGAACCUUAAUUUUCUCUGAAUUUUUACGUGGACCUAAAAUUACCUCUUUUUAGAAAAGUUUAAAAAUGAAUUUUUCUUCUAAAAAGAGAAUUUUGUAGGUGUCCGAUCACACCUAAAAAAAGAUCGGUGGCGACUCCUUUUUUUCAAAUAAAAUCGAGAUUCAGUUUUCAAGUUUUUAAUAAUUACUUCGACAAGCGCCCGUGCGCAAAAUUUUUAAGUCGCUACAGCCUCUACUUGAGACAACAGGGUUUUGCAGGGAAUUCUUACAGGUUCGUUUCUGGCGACAAAAAAGAGCUCUUCACUAUAAGCAUACAAACAAGAGCCAAAACUAUGCCUCUUAGUGAUGAUAUUAGGCCUUAUGUUAUUCCUUUUCAACAUCAAACCGUCAACCGGUAUGGUAUGUUUUUUUUAUUUAAUCUGCAAUUUGUGAUAAUUCUUUGUUAUUUAUGUAUGGAAUUUAUUGGGAGGAAAUGCUGGAAAGAAUUCAUUUACGAGAAUUGGUCCAAGAUCAAGGGUGAACAUUACGGACCCUGAAAAAUAAGAGAAAUACUUAACAAAUUUAAUGACUUCCAGAAGAUACGUACCAAUCCACUGCUUAAUUUGCUUGUAAGCGGCCUUGUUAACCUCGAAGGAGACCGAUGGAGCAAGCAUAGAAAAAUCAUAACCCUUGCAUUUCAUCAAGAUAAGUUGAAGGUAUAGAAUAGUAAUGGGUACUCAAGACUUUAAAGAAAACAUCAUACUUAAGCCUAUGCUUUUCUGAUUUAGAAAUAAUUGGAUGCAGAAUAUGUUGCCAGCAUUUUAUCAAAGUUGUAGUGACAUGUUUAAGCAAAUGGGAGAAGAUGGUGUGUACAGAAGGAUACAUUGAGUUAGAUGUGUCGCCUUAUCUCGUAGAUUUGACAAGAGAUGUUAUUUCCCGAUCUGCUUUUGGAAGCAGCUUCGAAGAAGGCAAACGAAUUUUCCAAUUACUAGAGGACCAACUCGUUCUCACAAUCAAAUUAAUACAAACUGUUUACAUUCCAGGAUGGAGGUAACCGUCUACUUUAAUUUACUUGAAAAAGGUUGCAAAUGUUGGAAUUGGCUAAAUUCGUGUUUGUUUUCUUGAAGGUUUUUGCCCACAAAGACAAACAGGGAGGUGAAGAUGAAACACAAAGACAUAAAAGAGUCGCUCAGGGAAAUGAUAAAAAGAAGAAAGCAGGCAAUUAAAGCAGGGGAAGAGAGUAAUGAGGACUUGUUGGACAUACUUGUGGAAUCCAAUAUCAGAGAAAUGGAAGCAAAGAAUAUGGGGAUGAGCAUUGAGGAUGUGAUUGAGGAAUGCAAGCUGUUUUACUUAGCUGGCCAGGAGACCACUUCGGUCUUACUGGUGUGGACUAUGGUUUUAUUAGCAAGGUAUCCCGAUUGGCAAAGUAAAGCAAGAGAGGAGGUUUUGCAUGUUUUGGGUGACAGUAAACCUGAUGCUGAUGGCCUUAAUCGUCUCAAAGUUGUAAGUCCCUAGCAUGUCUCUUGAAGGCCCGAUCUCUGAGGUCGACAACUCAAAAACUUGGUUCUUUGUUUCGCUAAUUCUACAGUUAACAAUGAUAUUGUACGAGGUUCUAAGGCUGUACCCACCAGUGAUUGAGCUAGGACGUUCCGUUCCAAAAGAAAUAAAACUGGGAAAUUUGUUGUUACCAGCAGGAACAGACGUUUCGGUUCCAAUCCUGCAGAUCCACCAUGACAAAGAUCUUUGGGGCGACGCCGCACGGGAAUUUAAGCCACAGCGGUUCACGGAAGGGGUUUCCUAAGCAACAAAGAGUCAAGUCACGUUUCUGCCAUUCGGAUGGGGUCCUAGGAUCUGCAUUGGCCAAAACUUUGCCAUGAUGGAAGCUAAAAUGGCGAUGGCUAUGAUUCUCCAACGCUUCUGGUUUGAGCUUUCCCCUUCCUAUGCUUACUCUCCUUACAACAUGGCAACUCUUCGUCCACAGCAUGGUGCACAGAUAAUUUUACAUAAACUUGGCUGUAAUUGAAUUGUUAUGUAAGCAAAUCUUUGUGAAAAUAUAGUGUUUUAGUGUAUCGUCAACGUCUGUCUGUAAUGGUACAAUUCCGAUGCAUGAAUAGUAAAUUUUGAGAUGUUUGGUGAAGUCCGAAAUAAUAUGCAGAAAUUGAGUGUCUAUGGUGGACAUAGUUGAGGGACUAAUGUGGUAAUUAUCAAUCAAAUAAUUCGGUACAAAGACUUAUAUGGAAAUUAAAGCAGGGGGAGUUGAAAAUGACUACUCUGCUUUGGGCAUCAAUUUAGAAAGAUUUAAAGUACAAAUGUGUUAUUAGUUAAGGGAUUUGUUUUAAAGAGGGAAUGACAAUUAAACCUCAUGGUUGAUUUGUGGAAGGGAACCAAUGAUGGGAUGAUUACUCUUAGUGGUGAAAAAAAAACUAUUAAGGUGGUUAUUAUAGUUGUUAUCACCAGCCUAAAAUUUGAAUAGGUUCAGGUCGGAUUAUAUUGAGCUUGCAAGAUUAGUUCACGGACCAAACUUGCAUGAUAAUAGGUAUUCACAACAAGAUAUCUAUAGUUUCCAACAAAGUCACAUGUGAGAUCGUGCAUUAGAACCGCAUAAACAUGUUUUAUGUUUAGAAUAUGAUAUGUGUCUAUGUGUAUAGAAUCUACCUAAUAUAUCAUAUUAAUGAAUAGUAUCAAUUGCGGAGCCAAAAAAUUAUUUGUGAGGGGUCAGAAUUAAAUUGUAUAUUUUUACAAAAAUAAAAAUUAAAUUUCACUAUUUUAAUAGUUUAUUUAUUUUUAAUUUUUAAAUGAUUAAAUUAAAUUUUAUAAAUUUUUAGGAUCAAAGUAUAAUUUUAUCAUUACUAAUUUAAAAUUUUAUAAAUUAUAAAAAGUUUAUAUGAAAAGUUUUCUAUUUUAGGGUGGCCAAAGCCCCUGUCAACUUCUGACUCGAUCACUUGCGGUUAGUUGGGUAAAGACUCAAGAAAAAUAGCGGUGUGUUUGGAUGGACGGUGCGUUUACUUGCGGUUAGUGUAAAAAUAGCGGUGGCGGUGAGAUUAGAUACUAUAGCAACACUGUAGCGUGAGACAAAAAGUAAGUUAAACGCACUGCACUGCACUUAAUCGUCUAUCUAAACUCACCAUAAGUGUCUAAAAUAUGAUUUAAGUGAAGAUACGUGGGGUAGGUGUCAUGGAAAUGUAAAAAAAAAAAAGAAUCCUACUAAUGUAUGGGAUGUGUACAAUUGAAUGCAGGAGUGAAUCAUUUGGGUAACAUUUGGACAAGAAACAUAAUGAACAAAAUGAAAGGAGAGGAAGCUAGUAAUAAAAGAUUCUUUUGGGUUAUAUAAUUUGUUUGGCAUAUAUUUUUAUAAUAUUUAAAUAUCAUUUUGGAGUUGUUGAAUUAUAAUUUAUUUUUAUGUUUUAAAACAUAAUUAUUCUAUUUUUAGAGGUCAGAGUAGAGGUGAGCAUGAGUCGGGCUACUCGGCUCGGGCUGAAGGCUUGCGCAAAAUGUGAGAGAUUUGGGUAAAAAUAUAGGCCCGAAAAAUGAGUUUAGACAAAAAAAAAUAUAAGGCCCGUUGAAAAAACAGGCUAGGCCUUGGGUAAGGCAUUUUGGCCCCAGACCCGGCCCAACCCAAAUUCACUAAGGGCACGUUUGGUUCGCUGUAUUGGAAUAGAGGCGUAAUGUAAUAGAGGCGUAAUGGAAUAGAGACGUAAUAGCAAAUCAAUUGUUUGGUUGAAUGUAAUGGAAUAGAGGCGUAAUAGUAUUCUUAUAUUUGGUUGAAUGGAAUAGAGUUGUAAUAGCAUAAGGAAAAAAGUUAAAAUGACUAGAAUACCCUUAGCAGAAAUUUGUUUAGAUAAAUGAUUAUUGUUAUUGUUAUUAAAUUUUAAUAAGAUUAUUAAUAUCAGUAAUAAAUAAUUUAAUCAUAUUUUAACAUAAUUAUUAUUAAAUAUAAUUUAAUAAAAAUAUAUAAUUUAAUAAAAUUCUUAAUAUUAAAUAUUCUUAAUAUUAAAUUACUAAAAUCAUAAUAUAUAAUACUAUAAAAUAUAAUUUAACAUAAUUAUUAUUAAAUAUAAUUUAAUAAAAUUCUCAAUAUUAAAUAUAUUCUUAUAUGAAUUUACUAAAAUCAUAAUAUAUAAUACUAUAAAAUAUAAUUUAAAAUAAUUAUUAUUAAAUAUAAUUUAAUAAAAAUAUAUAAUUUAAUCUAAAGUUUGAAUGUGUAUUUACCUAGCAAAAAUCAAUGAACUCUCGUGUAACUAUAACCUUAAUAAUAUAUGAUGUAUAAUUAAUAUUUCGUGACUAAUUAAUAGCAUAGAGAUAAAUAUAGUAAUGACGAAUUUAUAGUAUACGAUUAAAAUGCUAAUAAUUUAUAGUAUACAAUUAAAAUAUUAUAAAUAAAAUAAUAGUAAAUGAUAUAUAAGAUAAAUUAACAUAUAAAUAAUUCAGAUAUGUAAAGGAUAUGGCUGAAUAUGGUUGCUCCAAUAAUAAAGGAUAUAUAAUAUAUCAUGGUGUUGUUUUGUUUAGAUAGUUCGGUAACUUAGGAGGGUAUGUAUGAAGAACACAAGUUGAUGCAGAUAGAAAGACGACAAUAUUACAUGAUUACAAUAUGAUAUAGUAUAUAUAUAUAAUUUAUGGAUUCCUUGCAAUCACGUGGGUUCUCUAGCCAUUUUAUUUAGCAUAUCCAGUGAUAUUAAGAUCCAGAAUUAUAAUACAACUAAAAUCUGUGCACACUUAUGGAUGAUCCAACAAAGCCUCAGUUGGCUUUAGGUUCCAAAUCUUGCAACCCACAAACCAUAUUUGCUGGCACUGCAACAUCAAUCAUCUUAGGAUAUGCCAAGUUAAGAUCUGUUGCACCAACAAAAACAGAGGAGAAAUUGGAAGGCGAUCCGAAAAAACCCAAGGAUGCUUUUUCUUUUCUUUUUUUUUUAUAAUCUUUAUAGACUGGUUAUAUUGAGCAUCAACUUACUUUCCAUGAUGUUUUUGAAAGUCUCUUACAAAAAGGGUAUUCAACAAAUAAUAUAAUCAGACAUAUUGAUAGGACAAAUUGAAACUAGUAUUCUAUGAUCAUAAUAAAGAGUAAUCUUUAAUCAAAUGCGUGAAGGUAUUGAGAUGUCAUGCUUUUUCAUGAUUUCCUGUUUUACCAUGGCGAUGUUCAUUGGAAUAGUCCCAUCCAAGAGAAUCAAACCAAUGCUCAGCAAGAAAUGUUCAAUGCAUAUGUAAUUUUAAUUACAGAAGUUAUAUGCAGCUUAUAUGAGUUCAAGAUCAUAAAAUACUUCAUGGACAAAAGGAAACCCUUUCUUAUCACUGAAAUGAAAAUAGGCACUCUUAAUUUUCUAUUGUCAAAAGUAGCAAGCCAUUUUCCAAAGAAAAGGGAAGAUGGAUGGUUCCAGAAAGAAUACCUCAUCCUUUGUCAAGUGUGGAUUAUAUAGCAUCUCCUCUCCCACAGUGGUUACCUAUAAUCAAUGAGGUUUAUAAAAUCGAGCAAUCAUUUAUAUAUGUAAGAAAUGAUAGGAAUAAAGUUUUAUAUCUUACUGAGAAUCCUUUGUAGUCAUGAGCUGGAUAUAGCAAUGUCUCUUUCGGUAAUGUAAAAAUCUGGAUCCAUGAAACAAAUAAGUCCAUAAAUUUUAUUCAAAUUUUGACAAUUACAAUAAAAUUUUGAGAACUCAAAGAAUGUGACCAUAAAAAGUCCCCUGUCCUUACCUGUGAAUGCACUGACUUGUAGAGUUGCUGUGAACUUCCACCCUGCAAAAUGCAUUAAUCAGUGCUAGUCAAUGGCUACUGAAUGUGGGAGCAUUAGAGAAAAUUAUCUUAAAAACUUAAGUAUAACAAAAUUAGACAAUGACAUCCAGAUGGAAAGAAAUUGCCAGCAUAUAAGACCAGCAUUUAUGUACUCACGACUGAAAAUCCUUUGCAAAAAGUAUAGCCCUGAUAGUUCAAACUUUUACUUCAAGGAUGAUUUAAUUACUGAUUAGUUUGCCAUGAGGCUUGUGAAUGACAAACACUUUAUGUGCAACCACAGUAACAAGGUAAGCACCAAUAAGUAGAAGACUAGACGAAUAGGUAACCAAGAGUUAGAGCUAAAACAGACAAACAGAGCUACUAUCCAAUGAGCUAAAACAUACAAACAGAGGUAUAUUUUAAUAAUGAAAAUAAUCGAUUGCCUUAAACACCAUAUAGUGUUCCAAUCAAUCAAAUUAUAGCAGGCAUUAAAACCUUUCCCUUUCGUUAAUUCACAACUAUUAGCUUCAUUAAUCAAAUCCUAUGUACAGUUGAUCGAUUGAAAGUGUAACAUUUCAAAGACGAAAUUUAAACGCAAAACUGGUUAACAUUGAAAUUACAUGUAAAUAUAACCUAAAAAAUCAAAAAAUUAAUCAUAUUUUCAGAUUUCAGGCCGAAAUGGAAUGAAAUGAAAGGUAAAUCCAUUUUUUCCCCAAAAAAACAAAAAUAAAGAAAUAAUAUUUCAAGAACAGAUCAUUAAAUUCAUGGUAUAUAUAAAGAAAUUUAAUUGAAAUCAAAGGAAUAGAAGAAGGGAAAAGCGUACUUGGAACCAUUGCUGCUACUCUCUGUUACUCUGUUACCUCAUACGAUUCGUUAAAGGGUUGUUAGGGUUUGUUAAAAGGUUGGUCAGGAUAGAAGCAUGAAAAGGAGGGAGAAGGUUGGAAGGAAAUGGGAAGAAAAAUGAAAAAAAGAAGAAGAUGCUGCAACGGCUUGGAGGGUAAAAGAGGACCGAUUAGGUAAUCCUUUCUUUUGGAAGGGAUUACAAAUCGGCGCUGCAUAAGGGAAAAUGGGGAAUCAGUGCGCUGCGUAAUAGGCCCGUAUUAAGGCAAUACAGCCAACCAAACAUGGUAAUCAGUGGGGCCACGAAUUAGGGGUGUAUUGGCUAAUCCAAUACACCCAACCAAACAUGCUCUAAAGGACAAAAAAAUUUGAUUUUUUAAAUAUUAUUUUCUCUCUAUUUUGCUAUCAUUUUACUAUUAUGUUGCUACUAUGUUAUUGUUAUUUUUGAAUAUUGUAUAAAACUUAUUUUAUUGUUAAUUUUGUUAUUAUUUUAAAGACAUUUGUUAAUUUUGUUAUUAUUUUAGAGACAUUUGUUUGUUAAGUUGCAUCUAUCUUAGUGUUAUUUAAGUAUACAUAUUUUUUAAAAUUUAUUUUCAAUUUAUUGGGAAAUAUUUAUUUUGAUGUUUUUAGUAUUUUGGAUGUAUUAUAUAUAUUAAAAUUAUAUAAAAAUUAAUAUGGCCGAGCCAGGUCAGGCCCAGAUUUUAGCAUUUUUAUUCAGGUCGGGCUUGAGCAAAAUUUUAAGCCCAUUUUUUGGGCCAAACCAGGCCUGGGCUUAGCAAAUGGGCCUAAAUUUUUAGUCAAGCUCGACCUAAACCCGAUCCGGCCCAUGCUCACCUCUAGAUCAGAGCUGCCCUCGCUUUGCAUUUCUUUGAGAUUCAGUCUUAUCUACUGUUGAUUGCCCACUCAAUGGAGGGUUGAGUAGAAAGAUUUGGUGAAGCAAGCUAAGCUAUCAAUCAAGGUUGGAGAAAGCUUAGGAGGUCACAAUGCAUAAUUAUUUAAAUGUAAUUCUAAUAUUUAAAUAAAAUUUAUUAAUAUAGUAUUAACAAGCCCUAAAUGUAAUGAUUAUAUACUAUUACAUUUUUAAGAAGAGAAAACAUGUUUGAACCUUAAAAACAUCAUUAUUAAAAAUGAUAAUUACAAAUUUUAAAAUAUAAAAAAUAUAAUUAAAAAUUAAUUUUAAACCCGAGCUGGAUAAAAUUCUAAUUUUAGAUAACGAUACUAAUAAGAAAUCAAUAUUAAAAUGAAAAUGAAAAGUAAUUUAAUAUAAUUUUUGAGUCUUGGGCAAAGGCACUCAAUGAAUGCUUGGAAAGAAAUAAUGCAACUUGGUGAUAGCUUUUGUUGGAGUAAUAUGCUCUUAUUAUAGUUUUAUGUUUUUAUCUUGCAAAAACAACAUAUUGGAGUUUUCGGCAUGAUUUUUUCUUAAUACUUUACAUGAAAAAUAAUAAUGGGACUUAAAUUGCUACAAUAUUACAACACAAAGUUACAAUAAGAGCUUAUAACUCAACAAAGGCUAUCAAUAAAUAAUCUCAGGCAAGCUAAAGAGAAAUGUUGAGAAUACCACCCGAAUAGUGACUGACUUUAAAAGUUGAAAACCCGAAGCUAUAUUAUCUCAAACGAAAUCAAACCAUAAACAUUAAAAUUUUCAAGUCUACUAGUUACUGUAAAAAAUUCAGCUCCAACAGACACCAAAUGAGCCUUUGAUCGAAGAAAGUACGAAAAAUAGUCUAGGUAAACCAAGCUUCCAAACUUACUUAUCUUAUCUUUAAUUUGCAGUGAAAUUCAAAAUUAAGAUUUUGUUUAUUUCACUUGGAACAACUUUCAAAAAAUUAUUUUUGAAAAAUGAAUUGGUUUUUCGAAAUAGAUGAUAUUUUAUUGUGUCAAAAUUUUAUUCAUUGUAGGAAAACUUUUUUUAAAUCAUUUUCUUAGAGUUAUUUUUAGUUAAAUAAACAUAACAUAAAUAUAUUUGUUACAAAAAAUUAUACUAGUAUUUUCUUUUGACAAUUAAAAUUUAUUUUAUGGUAAGACAAUAUUUUAUAAUAAUUAAUAUCAUAUAUAUACGUAAUAAAAAUCAUGUUUAAUUAAAAUUUAAUUAAAAUUAGAUGUAUUAAUAAAGCUACUCCUCCACAACCCGCAUCCGCAACAGCACCAGCACCAGCACCAGCACCAGCAUCAGCACCAUGGGACAACUAUUGGGUUUCCUCCACCUGCCUCUAUCGCUCCUCCUCAGUAUUACCCCCAAGCCUACCAGACCGUGCCGGGUAUUCUACAAAUAUGAAAAAACCUUCUUCUCUUUUUAUUAGCUUAUCGAAAUGAAGGAUUUUGAGAUUUGGGCUUUUGUUAGAUGGAUGGUUAAUGAUAUUUUUUAGAUGAAAGAUACAAGUUUUUUAAUGUUUUAGAAGAAAAGGUGUUUAAAUAUUAGGAGUUUUUUAGCAGAGAAAGAAGAUAAAUAAAUGCAUAGAGAUACAUUAGCAAUAUUAUUUGGAUUUGGUUGUCUAAUGUAAUGAAGAAUUUUUUAAGGGUGACCUGAGUAGGUGUGGCAAGAUUCAAAGUUUUUUCUAUUAUAGCAGAUAUAUAUAUAUUAAUGGUUUAAGAAGACUAGAAGUCGGUUUCAAAGGAAGAUGAGAAAUAAAAGCAUUUAUAUAUAUGAUAUGUCAUUAAUUCAUAAACCAAAUAUAUAAAGUAUGUAAAAGUGUCAGGGGUUAAUCAUGGUGUUUUGACAAUCCGGUAACCUUCAACUUGAAGAAAACCUUAGGUUUCAAAAAUUUAUGUGAAGAGUUAGAAUGGUAUGCUUCAUGGAUCUGAAUAACUAGAACAGUGUAAGAGUGGUAUAUUGUGUCAAGUUUGGUUUCUUGUAUAUAAUUGUAUCGAAAACAAUGUUACAUGAGUUAAAAUGAAUGUUCAUCCAAUUUAACAAAGCCUGCAUUAUGUUGAUCAAAAUUUUUAAUUCAUGUUGAGGUUUCUUCCGUGAUAUCUUUGAUGUCAAGGUUAUGAUGUUGCUGAAGGGACACCUGUAAGAGAUAAGCCACCGUGCUGUGGCAUUGGAUUCGGAUGGUUCUUGUAAGUGUACAUAGUUUUCUUUGUUUUUAAAGAGUUCUUUACAUAUGAAGUAAAACAAGUAGCGACUUGAUGGAUAUGUCAUUAAGCUUUAACUUAAGCAAAUCAUUUUCCUUCAUCUCUAAUUGCCAUUUCUUUAAAAGAAAAAGAGGAAGUUUUGUAGUUUACAGUUUGGACAAAUGGAAGUUAAUAUAAUGCACUAUUUGGAUGGACUAUGGAGAUAUCCAAUCAUAUUGGAUGAGUUAUAAGAAACCUGUGAGUUCAUAUUGGGUUUACUUUAUAUCAUAAUUAGAUUGUUGAGCUGGCUGUCAUACUUAGAUGGUAUUUCACGUUGCUACUUGUUAAACUAUACCACUUUCACAUUCAUACGUGAAAUGGCUGGGAUUUAGUGCCAUUCUACUUAGCAGCCUCGUGUAAUACACAGGUGAAAUGUUUAUGUCUUCAUGUCACCUUAAAGUUCCCAUUUCCAUGACGGUAUUGUUAAGUAAAGACUGGUACAUACCCCAAAAUACGGAAAUUGUUUUGGAUGUAUACUAUACUUUACCAUGCAUGAUUUUUUACAAGUUUGCAUGGUAUUUUAUCAUUAUAUUGGUCUUUAUUUUCUAUACUCGCAGCUUCCAUUAAUAUAUUUUUAUGAAUUUUAUCAUUAUGCUGGUUUGAAGGUUCAUCAUUGGUUUCUUCAUUGGGGGCCAUCCCUGGUAUAUUGGAUUCUUUGUUUUACUUUGUGCAAGGAUAGACGACAGAGAGAAAGCAGGAUAUAUUGCAUGCACAAUUGCCGUGAGUAUCUUUUCUAUCAUUAUUUUUUUCUUUUCCAAUUUUAUGAAAGCCAUCCUUCCUGCCUUGUAUUGAUCAUCAAUUUAACCAUUAUAUAUAUGUAUCUUAUGUAUUUGUACCAUGCUUUAUCUUCAAUGCAAAUAUAAGUUAAACUACAAAGAUUGGAUUGUUAAAAAAAGUUUAAAAUGUUAAAAAAAUUGAAAAUUUUGAUUUUGUAAGAAUGAUAGAAAACCAAGGCCAGUGCUUGCAUAUGUUAUCUACUACAUGCACAAUCGGGUCGAUGUCUGUAUAUGUUUCAUGUUUAGAAAUCGUGUUCAAUUGGGUUACGAUAUGUACAAUUGAAGUGUCAAUUUAUAAUUUCCUUAUCAAGAUUACACAUUUUUUUGUUAAUAUUCGGAAUCACUCAAUGGUUAUAAACCCUGAUUGGAUACUGUCCACAAAGUCUAGUUGGAACAUCCCUUGUAUUCUUUGUCCUUUCUAAGAACUUUCCUUUCCAUCAUUCUCGCUUCUGUUUUUUUUUUCUUCCCUCUACUUUAAGUCAUUAUCUAACGUAGAUAUCCCUUGUAUUCUUUGUCCUUUCUAUGGCAAUCGAGUCAAUUGAUGGCAAGCCAAAAAAACAAAAAGAGCAGCUAUCCUGUCUUACUCGAUUGCCAUCCCUCCUGUUAAACACCAUUAAGAAAAGGAAAAUUUUAGUUAAGCUUUAAAACAGCCAUGUUUUAACGAUGUUGGUGAUGGUGCUUGUGCAGGCCCUUCUUGCUACAAUUACAAUUAUUCUUAGUGCAACAAUUAAAGCUGGUGGGUGAUAAAGCACACCUCUUUUGACUGAGAGAUGUAUAGGUUCCCAAAUAAUAUGUAUAUGCUCCCCCCCCUCCCUUUAUUUUAUUUUAUUUCCAGUAAGUUAUUGUUUAUGAUAAUUUGCAACAAAUGUUUUUGUCAUUAUUUUGUUGGUGAAUGAUAAUAAGAUUAAGCUUUACUUUCUUAAGCUCCAAUUCCUUGGACGUUGGUGAUUUUUUUAUUAUAGUUGAGUCAUUGUAUGGUAUUAAUAUAAUUUAUGUCGCUUAAAAUUUAUAACUAAAAAUAUAAAAUUUAAAUUUUACUUCAAUUUAUUUGUAUUUAUAAAUGGUUAAUUCAAACUUAUUUUUUUCCUCAUUAUAUUUUAUAUUUAAAUUAACAUUUAAACUAUUUUUCAUUAGCAAUGUUGUUAAGAAUUAUAUUUUUUAGCACCAACAUCAAACUUACUAAAAUUAAAUUUUUAACUAUUUAAAAAAAAUAUUUUUAGCUAUUUAUCAUCAUAGAGAAAAAAAGGUGACGUCACCACGCCUCAUGCUUCGACACCACAAACUAGACUCUCAUCACCCGUAUUUAUCAUCGAUUCAAAUUCCAGAACUACCUAAAAAUAUAUCUUCAAACUUCCUCUGGUUAAGUUCAUUGAUAGUCAACUUACUAUCAUUUCUAAAAAAAAAACAAAUAAAUUGGUUAAUAGUAAUCUCAAUGAUUCAAUUUUAUUCUUACCAGUAUCUGUCCUUUAGAAAGGGGCUUAUAAAAGGGGUAGAGGUGAGUAAACUUGAGCUUCAGCUUUCCACAAACACCUUAAUUUGAAGACACAGUUCUCUCAUACUAAAAAAGACAUGGAAGUUUACCUUGUAAUUAGAGAUUUGGUUUCAUUGCUUGUUGUUGGGUUAUUAAUGAUAUGGGGAUGCAGAACUUUAAACUGGGUAUGGCUGGCCCCAAAAAGGCUCGAAAGCUGCUUGAGACAACAGGGUUUUGCAGGGAAUCCUUACAGGUUCCUUUCUGGUGACAUAAAAGAGCUCUCAACUAUGAGCAGACAAACAAGAGCCAAACCUAUGCCUCUUAGUGAUGAUAUUGGGCCUUAUGUUGUUCCUUUUCAACAUCAAACUGCUAACCAGUAUGGUAUGUUUUUUUUGUUUAAUCUGCAAUUUAUGAUAAUUCUUUGUUAUUUAUGUAUGGAAUUUAUUGGGAGGAAAUGCAGGAAAGAAUUCAUUUACGUGGUUUGGUCCAAGACCAAGGGUGAACAUUACGGACCCUGAAAAAAUAAGAGAAAUACUUAACAAAUUUAAUGACUUCCAGAAGAUACAUACCAAUCCACUGCUUAAUUUGCUUGUAAGCGGCCUUGCUAACCUCGACGGAGACCGAUGGAGCAAGCGUAGAAAAAUCAUAAACCCUGCAUUUCAUCAAGAUAAGUUGAAGGUAUAGAAUAGUGAUGGGUAAUCAGACUUUACAGAAAACAUCAUACUUAAACCUAUGCUUUUCUGAUUUAGAAAUAAUUGGAUGCAGAAUAUGUUGCCAGCAUUUUAUCAAAGUUGUAGUGACAUGUUAAGCAAAUGGGAGAAGAUGGUGUGUACAAAAGGAUACAGUGAGUUAGAUGUGUGGCCUUAUCUCGUAGAUUUGACAAGAGAUGUGAUUUCCCGAUCUGCUUUUGGAAGCAGCUUCGAAGAAGGCAAACGAAUUUUCCAAUUACUAGAGGACCAACUCGUUCACAUAAUCAAAUUAAUACAAACUGUUUACAUUCCAGGAUGGAGGUAACCGUCAACUUAAUUUACUUGAAAAAGGUUGCAAAUGUUGGAAUUCGCUAAAUUCGUGUUUGUUUUCUUGAAGGUUUUUGCCAACGAAGACAAACAGGGAGAUGAAGAUGAAACACAGGGACAUAAAAGAGUUGCUUAUGGAAAUGAUAAAGAGAAGGGAGAAGGCAAUUAAAGCAGGGGAAGAGAGCAAUGAGGACUUGUUGGACAUACUUGUGGAAUCCAAUAUCAGAGAAAUGGAAGCAAAGAAUAUUGGGAUGAGCAUUGAGGAUGUGAUUGAGGAAUGCAAGCUGUUUUACUUAGCUGGCCAAGAGACCACUUCGGUCUUACUGGUGUGGACUAUGGUUUUAUUAGCAAGGUAUCCCGAUUGGCAAAGUAAAGCAAGAGAGGAGGUUUUGCAUGUUUUGGGUGACAGUAAACCUGACGCUGAUGGCCUUAAUCGUCUCAAAGUUGUAAGUCCCUAGCAUGUCUUUUGAAGGUCCGAUCAAUGAGGUCGACAACUCAAAAACUUUGUUUCUUUUUUCGCUAAUUCUACAGGUAACAAUGAUAUUGUACGAGGUUCUAAGGCUGUACCCACCGGUGGUUGAGCUAGAACGUUCCGUUCCAAAAGAAAUAAAACUGGGGAAUUUGUUGUUACCAGUAGGAACAGAAGUUUCGGUUCCGAUCCUGCUGAUCCACCAUGACAAAGAUCUUUGGGGCGAUGACGCACGGGAAUUUAAGCCAGAGCGGUUCGCGGAAGGGGUUUCCAAAGCAACAAAGAGUCAAGUCACGUUUCUGCCAUUCGGAUGGGGUCCUAGGAUCUGUAUUGGCCAAAAUUUUGCUAUGAUGGAAGCCAAAAUGGCGAUGGCUAUGAUUCUCCAACGCUUCUGGUUCGAGCUUUCCCCUUCCUAUGCUCACUCUCCUUACGGCAGGGCAACUCUUCGUCCACAGCAUGGUGCACAGAUAAUUUUACAUAAACUUGGCUGUAAUUGAAUUGUUAUGUAAACAAAUCUUUGUGAAAACAUAGCGUUUUAGUUUAUCGUCAAAGUCCGGUGUCUGUAAUGGUACAAAUUCGAUGCAUGAAUAGUAAAGUUUGAGAUGUUUGGUGAAGUCCGAAAUAAUAUGCAGAAAUUGAGUGUGGUAAUUAUCAAUCAAAUAAUUCGGUACAAAGACUUACAUGGAAAUUAAAGCAGGGGGAGUUGAAAAUGACUACUCUGCUUUGGGCAUCAAUUUAGAAAGAUUUAAAGUACAAAUGUGUUAUUAGUUAAGGGAUUUGUUUUAAAGAGGGAAUGACAAUUAAACCUCAUGGUUGAUUUGUGGAAGGGAACCGAUGAUGGGAUGAUUAUUCUUAGUGGUAAAAAAAACUAUUGUGGAGGUUAUUAUACUUGUUAUCAUCGGCUUAAAAUUCGAAUGGGUUCAAGUCGGAUUAUAUCGAGCUUGUAAGAUGAGUUCACGGAUCAAAUUUGCAUAAUAAAAAUACUUAAAUGAAAAAAAUUUCUAUUUUAGAGGGACCAGAGCCCCUACCAAUUCCCGGCUCAGCUACUAAACAAUACCCAUAUCAUAUAAAUAAAUACCACCAUAAAAAAAACUCAAAGAAAAACACUGACAAAUGAUAAAUAGAUAGAUGUUGGAUAAGUGUCCAAAAUAUGAUUUAAGUGAAGAUACAUGGGGUAGGUGUCACGGAAAUGUGAAUACAAGAAUACUACUAAUGGGAUGUGUACAGUUGAAUGUAGGGAGCAAAAAGAGGAGUGAAUCAUUUUGGUAACAUUGGGACAAGAAACAUAAUGAACAAAAUGGAAGGAGAGGAAGCUAGUAAAAGAAAUUUUUUGGGUCAUAUAAUUUGUUUGGCAUAUAUUUUUAUAAUUUUUAAAUAUCAUUUUGGACUUGAAUUAUAAUUUUUUUAUAUAUUAUCUUAAAAUUGUAUAAAUUUUAAGGAGUUAAAACAAAAUUAUUCUAUUUUUAGAUGGUUAAAGUAGAGAUGAUAAUGGGUUGAGCUAUUCGGCCCAGCCUGACGAUCCACCCGAAAAAUAGGAAGGUUUGGGUAAAAAUAUAGGCUUGAAAUAUGAAUUUGAGCAAAAAAAGAGGCCCGUUUAGAAAAUGGGCCGAGCCUCGGGUAAAACCUUUUGGGUCUAGACCUGACCUAAAUUAUAUAUUAAAUAUAUAUAUUUUUAUUUUUAAUCAAAUAUACUUUUGUUUUAUUAUUAAUUUGGUUAUUAUUUUAGUUCUAAUUUGUUUCAAUUUUAAUAUAACUACUUUUUAUUAUAUUUUCAAUUUGUGCAUUGUUUUAAGAAUUAUUUUAGUCUCAUUAUUUAUUUAUUUUUUAUUUUAAUAUUUGUUUUAAAAUUUUUUAUUUAUUGAAAUAAGCUAAAAAAAUUAAUAUGGGUUGGACCAGACCGGGCUCGGGCCUAGUAAUUUUCUUUUGGGCCGGACUUAAACAAAUUUUUAAGCCCAUAUUUUGAAUUGGGUCCUACACUAGAAAAUGGACCUAAAAUUUUGUAUUACCUUUAGGUCAGAGCUAUCCUCGUUUUGCAUUUCUUUGAGAUUCAGCCUUAUUUACUUUUGAUUGCCCACUCAAUAGAGGGUUGAGUAGAAAUAUUUGGUGAAGCAAGCUAAGCUAUCAAUCAAGGUGUGCAUAAUUAUUUAAAUGUAAUUCUAAUAUUAAAAUAAAAUUUUUAUUAAUAUAGUAUCAACAAGCAUUAAAUGUAAUCAUCAUAUACUAUUAAAUUUUCAAUAAGAGAAAACAAGCUUGAACUUUAAAAACGAUGUUACUAAAAACAUUAUCACAAAUCUUGAAAUAUAAAAAAUACUUUUUAAUAUAAUAAAAAAAUAAUUUUAAAACCGAGAUGAAUAAAAUUCUAAUUUUAAUUAAUGAUACCAACAACAAAUCAAUAUUUAAAUUAAAAUUUAUCUUAAUUUAAUAUAAUAAAAUUGGACUUGAAUAUUGAAUUUUUGAGUCUUGGGCAAAGUAGAGGUGCUCAUGGGCCGGGUUGGGUCGGGUUUGGGAAAAAUUUCGGCCCGCAUCCUAGGCUCGGGCUCGGCCCGACCCAAAUAUGGGCCUAAAAUUUUGUCUAGGCCUAGCCCGGCCCGGCCCAACUCAUUUUUUUUAAUAAACACCAAAAAUUUAUUUUGAAAAUAAAAAAAUAAAAAAAGUAUUUUAAAAAUAUUUUAAAAUUUUUAAAAAAUAUAUAUAUUUAUUAUAUAUUCGGGCCGGGCCAGGCCCGAGCCAAAAAAGUGGCGCCCAAGGCCCGGCCUGUUUUCUAAACGGGACUCAUUUUUUACCCAAACCCAUAUUUCGGGCCUAUAUUUCUACCCGAAUCUCUCAUAUUUAGGGCGAACCGUCGGGCCGGACCGGGCCGCCCGGCCAUGAACACCUCUAGGACAAAGUCACUCAAUGAAUGCAUGGAAAGAAAUAAUGCAACUUGGUGAUAGCUUUUGUUGGAGUUAUAUGCUUUUUUUUUACGUAGUGGAACUUUCGGUGGAUUUUCAAGUUUCAUGAACUUUAUACUCUAUGCUUUACGUGAAAAAAAAAAUUCAUUGGACUUAAAAGUCUACCAAAAGUUUCACUAAAAAAAAAACCAUUGCUACAAGAUUACAACAUAAAGUUACAAUAAGAGCUUAUAACUCAACAAAGGCUAUCAAUAAAUAAUCUCAAACAAAUUAAAGAGAAAUGUUGAGAGUACCACUCGAAUAGUGAUUAACUUUAAAAAUUGAAAACCCAAAGUUAUAAUAUCCCAAACGAAAUCAAACCAUAAACAUUAAAUUUUUCGAGUCUACUAGAUACUGCAAAAAAUUCAGCUCCAACAGACACCAAAUGAACCUAUGAUCGAAGAAAAUACGAAAACUAGUCUAGCUAAAUCAAGCUGCCAAACUUACUUUUUAUCUUAUCUUUAAUUUGCUGUGAAAUUCAAAACUAAGGUUUUGUACUUAGAACAACUUUCAAAAAGUUAAUUUUGAAAAAUGGAUUGAAUUUUCAAAAUAGAUGAUAUUUUAUUGUGUUAAAAUUUUAUUCGUUGUUUGAAAAAAAAUUUAAAUCAUUUUCUUAGAAUUAUUUUUAGUGAAACAAACAUAUCAUAAAUAUAUUUGUUAUAAAAUAUUUAUAUUAAUAUUUUCUUUUAACAAUUAAAAUAUAUUUUGUGAUAAGGUAUAUUUUAUAAUAAUUAAUAUCAUAUAUACUUAAUAAUAAAUCAUGUCUAAUUAAAAUUUAAUUUCAAUUAAAUAUAUUAAUAAAGCUACAUAUAAUCAUAUUUUAUAUAAUAAAAAUAUUAAUAUAAAUAUUUUUUUAAUAAUAUAUUAAAGAAUAUUUAAAAUUUAAAUUUAUUAUUACUAAGAUUAAUUAUUAAAAUAAAAAUGUAAUGUUAAAUAAUUUAUCCAAUGAUAAGUUAUAUUAAUAAUUUAUUAUAUUAUUAAAUAUAAAUAAUUAAAUAUGUAUGUUUAAUAAUAUUAUGUUAUAAUAUUUAUUAUUAAUAUUUUAAUAUUUUUAAACAACCAUGUUUUAAAGAUGGUGGUGAUGGUGAUGGUGCAGGCCCCCUUGUUACAAUUACAAUAUUUUUAAGUGGGAUGCAUGUAAUAUAUUGUUAGGGUUUUAGAGUGUGUGGUCUUUAAAAGGGUUAAAUUAUAUAUUUAUAUAAUAUGAUUAUUGUUUAUAAAUAUAAUAUUGUAGAUAAACUUUUAUGCAUGUCAAUAUGUAUCCUACUCUGGGGUUAAUAUGUAUUUUUAGAUAUGGAUUCACCUAUAUAAUAGUAUGAAUCCAUCAUGCGGUCUCAUGAAAUAUACAAACACAUAUCGUGCGAACACAAAGUACGAACAAUAAAAAGUACAAAUCAAGACCAAUUGAGUAAUUGAAUAGCAGAUAGGUAAUAAUGACUAUCCCCUCUUGUUUGAAUUUAUUUUAUUUCCAGUGAGUUAUCGUUUAUGAUAAAUUUACAACAAAUGUUUUUAUCAUUAUUUUGUUGGUAAAUGAUAAUAAGAUUAAACUUUACUUUCUUAAGCUCCUUCAAUUCUUUGGACGUUAGCAAGUAAACUUGAGCUUCAGCAUUCCACAAACACCUUAAUUUGAAGACACAGUUCUCCCAUACUAAAAACAACAUGGACGUUUACCUUGUAAUUAGAGAUUUGGGCUCAUUGUUAGGUUAUUAAUGAUACGGGGAUGGAGAGCUUUAAACUGGGUAUGGCUGGCCCCAAAGAGGCUCGAAACGUGCUUGAGACUAGAGGUCCAGGCAAAUUUUUAGGCCCAUUUUUUAGGCCUGGACUGGGCCCGACUCGAAAUAUGAGCUUAAAAAUUUGUCUAAGUUCGGUCCAAAAGAAAAUUGUUAAGCCUAAGCCCGGCCCAUAUUAAAUUUUACAACACCAAAAAACUAUAUAUUUAAUAUAUAUAUUUGAUUAAAAAGUAUAUUUAAUUAAAAAUAAAAAUAUAUAUUUAAUAUAUAAUUCGGGCCGGGCCGAACUCGGGCCAAAAAAGUUUUACUCGGGGCUGGUCCGUUUUCUAAACAGACCUCGUUUUUUUGUCAAAAUCCAUAUUUUAGGCUUAUAUUUUUACCCGAAACUUCCUAUUUUUCGGGUGAACCGUCAGGCCGGACUAGGUAGCCCAACCAAUGAUCACCUCUACUUGAGACAACAGGGUUUUGCAGGGAAUUCUUACAGGUUCGUUUCUGGCGACAUAAAAGAGCUCUUCACUAUAAGCAUACAAACAAGAGCCAAACCUAUGCCUCUUAGUGAUGAUAUUGGGCCUUAUGUUGUUCCUUUUCAACAUCAAACCGUCAAUCAGUAUGGUAUGUUUUUUAAUUUAAUCUGCAAUUUAUGAUAAUUCUUUGCUAUUUAUGUAUGGAAUUUAUUGGGAGGAAAUGCUGGGAAGAAUUCAUUUACGUGGAUUGGUCCAAGAUCAAGGGUGAACAUUACGGACCCGGAAAAAUAAGAGAAAUACUUAACAAAUUUAAUGACUUCCAGAAGGUACGUACCAAUCCACUGCUUAAUUUGCUUGUAAGCGGCCUUGUUAACCUCGAAGGAGACCGAUGGAGCAAGCAUAGAAAAAUCAUAACCCUUCAUUUCAUCAAGAUAAGUUGAAGGUAUAGAAUAGUGAUGGGUACUUAGACUUAAUUUACAGAAAACAUCAUACUUAAAUCUAUGCUUUUCUGAUUUAGAAAUGAUUGGAUGCAGAAUAUGUUGCCAGCAUUUUAUCAAAGUUGUUGUGACAUGUUAAGCAAAUGGGAGAAGAUGGUGUGUACAGAAGGAUACAGUGAGUUAGAUGUGUGGCCUUAUCUUGUAGAUUUGACAAGAGAUGUGAUUUCCCGAUCUGCUUUUGGAAGCAGCUUCGAAGAAGGCAGACGAAUUUUCCAAUUACUAGAGGACCAACUCGUUCUCACAAUCAAAUUAAUACAAACUGUUUACAUUCCAGGAUGGAGGUAACCCUCAACUUAAUUUACUUGAAAAAGGUUGCAAAUGUUGGAAUUGGCUAAAUUCGUGUUUGUUUUCUUGAAGGUUUUUGCCAACAAAGACAAACAGGGAGAUGAAGAUGAAACACAGACAUAAAAGAGUCGCUUAGGGAAAUGAUAAAGAGAAGGGAGAAGGCAAUUAAAGCAGGGGAAGAGAGCAAUGAGGACUUGUUGGACAUACUUGUGGAAUCCAAUAUCAGAGAAAUGGAAGCAAAGAAAAAGGGGAUGAGCAUUGAGGAUGUGAUUGAGGAAUGCAAGCUGUUUUACUUUGCUGGCCAGGAGACCACUUCGGUCUUGCUGGUGUGGACUAUGGUUUUAUUAGCAAGGUAUCCCGAUUGGCAAAGUAAAGCAAGAGAGGAGGUUUUGCAUGUUUUGGGUGACAGUAAACCUGAUGCUGAUGGCCUUAAUCGUCUCAAAGUUGUAAGUCCCUAGCAUGUCUCUUGAAGGUCCGAUCUCUGAGGUCGACAACUCAAAAACUUGGUUUCUUUGUUUCGCUAAUUCUACAGUUAACAAUGAUAUUGUACGAGGUUCUAAGGCUGUACCCACCAGUGAUUGAGCUAGGACGUUCCGUUCCAAAAGAAAUAAAACUGGGAAAUUUGUUGUUACCAGCAGGAACAGACGUUUCGGUUCCAAUCCUGCAGAUCCACCAUGACAAAGAUCUUUAGGGCGACGACGCACGGGAAUUUAAGCCACAGCGGUUCACGGAAGGGGUUUCCUAAGCAACAAAGAGUCAAGUCACGUUUCUGCCAUUCGGAUGGGGUCCUAGGAUCUGCAUUGGCCAAAACUUUGCCAUGAUGGGAACCAAAAUGGCGAUGGCUAUGAUUCUCCAACGCUUCUGGUUCGAGCUUUCCUCUUCCUAUGCUUACUCUCCUUACAACAUGGCAACUCUUCGUCCACAGCAUGGUGCACAGAUAAUUUUACAAAAACUUGGCUGUAAUUGAAUUGUUAUGUAAACAAAUCUUUGUGAAAAUAUAGUGUUUUAGUGUAUCGUCAAAGUCUGCCUGUAAUGGUACAAUUCCGAUGCAUGAAUAGUAAAUCUUGAGAUGUUUGGUGAAGUCCGAAAUAAUAUGCAGAAAUUGAGUGUCUUGAAUGGAUGUAGUAUUUAAUGGUGGACAUAGUUGAGGGACUAAUGUGGUAAUUAUCAAACAAAUAAUUGCAUAUGGUACAAAGACUUGUAUGGAAAUUAGAGCAGGGCGAGUUGAAAAUUACUACUUUGCUUCGGGCAUCAAUUUAGAAAGAUUUAAAGUACAAAUGUAUUAUUAGUUUAAGGGAUUUGUUUUAAAGAAGGAAUGACAAUUAAACCUCAUGGUUGAUGUGUGGAAGGGAACCAAUGAUGGGAUGAUUACUCUUAGUGGUAAAAAAAAAAACUAUUAAGGUGGUUAUUAUAGUUGUUAUCACCGGCCCAAAAUUCGAAUAGGUUCAGGUCGGAUUAUAUUGAGCUUGUAGAUGAGUUUGCAUGAUAAUAGGUGUUCACAGAAAGAUAUCUAUAGUUUCCUACAAAGUCACAUGUGAGAUCGUGCAUUGGGACCGCAUAAAAAUGUUUUAUGUUUAGAAUAUGAUACGUGUCUAUGUGUAUGGAAUCUACCUAAUAUAUCAUAUUAAUUAAUAGUAUCAAUUGCGGAGCCAAAAAAUUAUUUCUGAGGGGUCAGAAUUAAAUUGUAUAUUUUUACAAAAAUAAAAAUUAAAUUUCACUAUUUUAAUAGUUUAUUUCUUUUUAAUUUUUAAAUGAUUAAAUUAAAUUUUUAUAAAUUUUUGGGAUCAAAGUACAAUUUUAUCAUUUCUAAUUUAAAAUUUUAUAAAAUAUAAAAAGUUUAUAUGAAAAGUUUUCUAUUUUAGAGUGGCCAAAGCCCCUGCCAACUUCCGACUCGAUCACUAAACAAUAUAAAUAAAUAAAUACCACCAUCUAAAAGACUCAAGAAAAACACUCAACGAUAAAUAGAUAGAUGUUGGGUAAAGAUACGUUUGGAUGGGCGGUGCGUUUACUUGCGGUUAGUAUAAAAAUAGCGGUGGCGGUUAGAUUAGAUACUAUAGCAACACUGUAGCGUAAGACAAAAAAUAAGCUAAACGUACUGCACUGCACUUAAUCGCCCAUCCAAACUCACCCUAAGUGUACAAAAUAUGAUUUAAGUGAAGAUACGUAGGGUAGGUGUCAUGGAAAUGUAAAAGACAAGAAUCCCACUAAUGUAUGGGAUGUGUACAGCUGAAUGUAGGGAGCAAAGAGGAGUGAAUCAUUUUGGUAACAUUUGGACAAGAAACAUAAUGAACAAAAUGAAAGGAGAGGAAGCUAGUAAAAGAUUUUUUUGAGUUAUAUAAUUUGUUUGGCAUAUAUUUUUAUAAUUUUUAAAUAUCAUUUUGGAGUUGAAUUAUAAUUUCUUUUUAUGUUUUAAAACAUAAUUAUUCUAUCUUCAAAGGGUUAGAGUAGAGGUGAGCAUGGGUCGGGCUACUCGGCCCGAAAUGUGAGAGAUUUGGGCAAAAAUAUAGGCUCAAAAAAUGGACUUGGACAAAAAAAUAUAAGACCCGUUGAAAAAUGGGCCGGGCAUUGGGUAAGGCAUUUUUGGCCCUGGGCCCGGCCCAAUCCUAAUUCACUAAAGGACAAAAAAAAUUUGAUUUUUAAAUAUUAUUUUCUUCCUAUUUUGCUACCAUUUUACUAUUAUGUUGCUACUAUUUUGUUGUUAUUUUUUGGAUAUUGUAUAAAACUUAUUUUAUUGUUAAUUUUGUUAUUAUUUUAAAGACAUUUGUUAAUUUUGUUAUUAUUUUAGAGACAUUUGCUUGUUAAGUUGUAUCUAUCUUAGUGUUAUUUAAGUGUACAUAUUUUUUAAAAUUUAUUUUCAAUUUAUUGGGAAAUAUUUAUUUUGAUGUUUUUAGUAUUUUGGAUGUAUUAUAUAUAUUAAAAUUAUAUAAAAAUUAAUAUGGCCGAGCCGAGUCAGGCCCAGAUUUUAGCAUUUUUAUUCAGGUCGGGCUUGAGCAAAAUUUUAAGCCCAUUUUUUGGGCCAAACCAGGCCUGGGCUUAGCAAAUGGGCCUAAAUUUUUAGUCAAGCCCGACCUAAACCCGAUCCGGCCCAUGCUCACCUCUAGAUCAGAGCUGCCCUCGCUUUGCAUUUCUUUGAGAUUCAGUCUUAUCUACUGUUGAUUGCCCACUCAAUGGAGGGUUGAGUAGAAAGAUUUGGUGAAGCAAGCUAAGCUAUCAAUCAAGGUUGGAGAAAGCUUAGGAGGUCACAAUGCAUAAUUAUUUAAAUGUAAUUCUAAUAUUUAAAUAAAAUUUAUUAAUAUAGUAUUAACAAGCCCUAAAUGUAAUGAGUAUAUACUAUUACAUUUUUAAGAAGAGAAAACAUGUUUGAACCUUAAAAACAUCAUUAUUAAAAAUGAUAAUUACAAAUUUUAAAAUAUAAAAAAUAUAAUUAAAAAUUAAUUUUAAACCCGAGCUGGAUAAAAUUCUAAUUUUAGAUAACGAUACUAAUAAGAAAUCAAUAUUAAAAUGAAAAUGAAAAGUAAUUUAAUAUAAUUUUUGAGUCUUGGGCAAAGGCACUCAAUGAAUGCUUGGAAAGAAAUAAUGCAACUUGGUGAUAGCUUUUGUUGGAGUAGUAUGCUCUUAUUAUAGUUUUAUGUUUUUAUCUUGCAAAAACAACAUAUUGGAGUUUUCGGCAUGAUUUUUUCUUAAUACUUUACAUGAAAAAUAAUAAUGGGACUUAAAAAUCUAUCAAAAGCUUCACCAUAAUAAUAAUAAUAAUAAUAAUAAUAAUAAAUUGCUACAAUAUUACAACACAAAGUUACAAUAAGAGCUUAUAACUCAACAAAGGUUAUCAAUAAAUAAUCUCAGGCAAGCUAAAGAGAAAUGUUGAGAAUACCACCCGAAUAGUGACUGACUUUAAAAGUUGAAAACCCGAAGCUAUAGUAUCUCAAACGAAAUCAAACCAUUAACAUUAAAAUUUUCAAGUCUACUAGCUACUGUAAAAAAUGCAGCUCCAACAUACACCAAAUGAGUCUUUGAUCGAAGAAAGUACAAAAACUAGUCUGGGUAAACCAAGCUGCCAAACUUACUUAUCUUAUCUUUAAUUUUGCAGUGAAAUUAAAAAUUAAGUUUUUGUUUAUUUCACUUGGAACAACUUUCAAAAAAUUAUUUUUGAAAAAUGGAUUGGUUUUUCGAAAUAGAUGAUAUUUUAUUGUGUUAAAAUUUUAUUCGUUGUUGGAAAACUUUUUUUAAAUCAUUUUCUUAAAGUUAUUUUUAGUGAAACAAACAUAACAUAAAUAUAUUUGUUACAAAAAAAUUAUAUUAGUAUUUUCUUUUGACAAUUAAAAUUUAUUUUAUGAUAAGACAAUAUUUUGUAAUAAUUAAUAUCAUAUAUAUAUACGUAAUAAAAAAAUCUUGUUUAAUUAAAAUUUAAUUAAAAUUAAAUAUAUUAAUAAAGCUACAUAUAAUCAUAUUUUUUAUAAUUAAAAUAUUAAUAUAAAUAUUUUUCAAUAAUAUAUUAAAAUAUUAAAAUUUAAAUUAUUAUUACUUAAAUUAAUUAUUAAAAUAAAAAAUUUAAUAUUAAAUAAUUUAUUCAAUGAUAAGUUUUAUUAAUAAUUUAUUGUAUUAUUAAAUAUAAUUAAUUAAAUAUGCAUAUUUAAUAAUAUUACGUUAUAAUAUUUUAAUAUUCUUAAACAGCCAUGUUUUUAAGAUGCUGGUGAUGGUGAUGCUGCGGGCCUCUCUUGUUACAAUUACUAUAAUUUUUUGUGCAAUAAUUGAAGUUGUUGGGUGGUCAAGCAAACCUCUUUUGACUGAGAUGCAUAUAAUAUACCCGCAUGUCCCCGCCUCCUAAAAUUUAAAUUUGUUAUUUGAAUCUUUAAAUUUUUUAAUAUAAUAUACCCGCAUGUCCCCGCCUCCUAAAAUUUAAAUUUGUUAUUUGAAUCUUUAAAUUUUUUAAAAAUUUUAAAUUCAUAAAAGUAAAAUUAUACUUUGACCCUCUAAAAUUAUAAAAAUUUAAUUAAUCUUUUAAAUUCAUUGGGCCCCUAAUAUAUUGUUCAGGCUUCACCCUUGAUACUGAUGUUGACUAUUUUAGAGUAUGUGUCUUCUUUAACAGGGUUAAAUUAUAUAUUUAUAUAAUAUAGUUAUUGUUUAUGGACGUGACAUCGUAACUAGGUUCUUAUGCAUGUCAACAUAUAUCCUAUUUUAAGGUUAACACGUAUUUUUAAAUGUGAAUUCACCUAUAUAAUGGUAUGAACCAUCAUGCAGUCUCAUAAAAUAUGCGAAUAUAUGUCGUGCGAACACAAAGUACAAUCCACACAGAAUACGAAUUAAGACCCAAUUGAAUAAUCGGAUACGAAUCAGUAAUAAUGAAUUUCAUAACAGCCACCAACCCCUCUUUUGUUUUAAUUUAUUUUAUUUCCAGUAAGUUAUUGUUUGUGAGAAUUCACAACAAAUGCUUUUGUCAUUAUUUUGUUGGUAAAUAAUAAUAAGAUUAAACUUUACUUUCUUAAGCUCCUUCAAUUCUUUGGAAGUUGGUGGUUUUUUAUUCUAAUCUUAUUUUUUUUAUUAAUUUCUUUUUUUAUAAUAAAUGUGUUUAUAGAUCAGGUUGGAUUAUAAUUGAAUCAUUGUCUGGUAUUAACAUAAUUUAAAUCGAUUAAAAUUUAUUCGACUGGAAAUAUAAAUUUAAAAUUUUACUUCAAUUUAUCUUAAUUUAUAAAUUGUGAAUUUAAAUUUAUUUAUUUUCUCUCAUUAUAUUCAGUUUUUCGGAUCAUAUUUGGCCCAGAACAAAAACUAGAACAAAAAAACAAAUAUAUAUGUUUUCCAAAAAUUAAAUUGUUAACUUUAAAAAAAUAUAUUUUUAGCUAUUUAUCAUCAUAGAGAAAAACAAAUAAGGUCACCUCGCCUUAUGCUUCAACACCUCAACCUAGAUUCUCAUCACCUGUAUUUAUCAUCGAUUCAGAUUUUUAUUUUUACUAUAUUCUAGAUCUACCUAUAAAUAUAUCUUCAAACUUCCUCUGGUUAAGUUCAUUCAUAGAUAGGUGAGUAAACUUGAGCUUCAGCUUCAACAAACACCUUAGUUUGCAAUUCUCUCAUACUAAAAAUAUGGAAGUUUACCAUGUAAUUAGAGAUUUGGUCUCAUUGCUUGUUGUUGGUUUAUUAAUGAUAUGGGGAUGGAGAGCUUUAAACUGGGUAUGGUUGGCCCCAAAGAGGCUCGAAAGGUGCUUGAGACAACAGGGUUUUGCAGGGAAUCCUUACAGGUUCCUUUCUGGUGACAUAAAAGAGCUCUUAACUAUGAGCAGACAAACAAGAGCCAAACCUAUGCCUCUUAGUGAUGAUAUUGGGCCUUAUGUUGCUCCUUUUCUUCAUCAAACUGUCAACCAGUAUGGUAUGUUUAAUUAUUAUUUAAUCUUCAAUUUAUGAUAAUUCUUUGUUAUUUAUGAAUGGAAUUUAUUGGGAGGAAAUGCAGGAAAGAAUUCAUUUACGUGGAUUGGUCCAAGACAAAGGGUGAACAUUAUGGACCCUGAAAAAAUAAGAGAAAUAUUUACCAAAUUUAAUGACUUCCAGAAGGUGCGUACCAAUCCACUGCUUACUUUGCUUGUAAGCGGCCUUGUUAACCUCGAAGGAGACCGAUGGAGCAAACAUAGAAAAAUCAUAAACCCUUCAUUUCAUCAAGAUAAGUUGAAGGUAUAGAAUAGUGAUGGGUACUUAAGACUUAAUUUACAGAAAACAUGAUACUUAAAUCUAUGCUUUUCUGAUUUAGAAAUGAUUGGAUGCAGAAUAUGUUGCCAGCAUUUUAUCAAAGUUGUUGUGACAUGUUAAGCAAAUGGGAGAAGAUGGUGUGUACAGAAGGAUACAGUGAGUUAGAUGUGUGGCCUUAUCUUGUAGAUUUGACAAGAGAUGUGAUUUCCCGAUCUGCUUUUGGAAGCAGCUUCGAAGAAGGCAGACGAAUUUUCCAAUUACUAGAUGACCAACUCGUUCUCAGAAUCAAAUUACUACAAACUGUUUACAUUCCAGGAUGGAGGUAACCCUCAAUUUACUUGAAAAAGGUUGCAAAUGUUGGAAUUGGCUAAAUUCGUGUUUGUUUCCUUGAAGGUUUUUGCCCACAAAGACAAACAGGGAGGUGAAGAUGAAACACAAAGACAUAAAAGAGUCGCUCAGGGAAAUGAUAAAAAGAAGAGAGCAGGCAAUUAAAGCAGGGGAAGAGAGCAAUGAGGACUUGUUGGACAUACUUGUGGAAUCCAAUAUCAGAGAAAUGGAAGCAAAGAAAAAGGGGAUGAGCAUUGAGGAUGUGAUUGAGGAAUGCAAGCUGUUUUACUUUGCUGGCCAGGAGACCACUUCGGUCUUACUGGUGUGGACUAUGGUUUUAUUAGCAAGGUAUCCCGAUUGGCAAAGUAAAGCAAGAGAGGAGGUUUUGCAUGUUUUGGGUGACAGUAAACCUGAUGCUGAUGGCCUUAAUCGCCUCAAAGUUGUAAGUCCCUAGCAUGUCUUUUGAAGGUCCGAUCAAUAAGGUCGACAACUCAAAAAUUUGGUUUCUUUUUUCGCUAAUUCUACAGUUAACAAUGAUAUUGUACGAGGUUCUAAGGCUGUACCCAUCAGCGACUGAGCUAGGACGUUCCGUUCCAAAAGAAAUAAAACUGGGAAAUUUGUUGUUACCAGCAGGAACAGAAAUUUCGGUUCCGAUCCUGCUGAUCCACCAU
rnacentral:lncRNA from 1 species